rnacentral:rRNA from 1 species
GACGAACGCUGGCGGCGCGCCUAACACAUGCAAGUCGAACGAGCGAGAGAGAGCUUGCUUUCUCGAGCGAGUGGCGAACGGGUGAGUAACGCGUGAGGAACCUGCCUCAAAGAGGGGGACAACAGUUGGAAACGACUGCUAAUACCGCAUAAGCCCACGACCCGGCAUCGGGUAGAGGGAAAAGGAGCAAUCCGCUUUGAGAUGGCCUCGCGUCCGAUUAGCUAGUUGGUGAGGUAACGGCCCACCAAGGCGACGAUCGGUAGCCGGACUGAGAGGUUGAACGGCCACAUUGGGACUGAGACACGGCCCAGACUCCUACGGGAGGCAGCAGUGGGGAAUAUUGCACAAUGGGGGAAACCCUGAUGCAGCGACGCCGCGUGGAGGAAGAAGGUCUUCGGAUUGUAAACUCCUGUUGGUGAGGAAGAUAAUGACGGUACUCAACAAGGAAGUGACGGCUAACUACGU